rnacentral:lncRNA from 1 species
AUUGCGUCGUCACCAGAAAUUUCAGUUUUGGUUCAAGUUUUUUUUGUUCCUUUCUUUCUAGACAACUAUUUUUGUUGUUUGUUUCUUCUGAGGCGGGUUCAGAAACCCUAAUCACAAAGGGCACCCCUAUUUCUCACUUUCUGCGAGCGGGAAGGGAAUGCUCGCUGAAGGGGAGGGUGAAUUGGGCGGCCCAAGCACGAGAGAGGCCACAACCUCGUUUUCCUUUUUUUUUUUACAUUUUCCGCGUUACUCUUUUUUCUUUAUAUUUGUAAUUUCUUUACGGAAAACACUCUACAAAAACAUUUGAAACAUG